GUAGGUGGCAAGCGUUGUCCGGAAUUAUUGAGCGUAAAGCGCGCGCAGGUGGGUUCUUUAAGUCUGAUGUGAAAGCCCCCGGGCUCAACCGGGGAGGGUCAUUGGAAACUGGGGAACUUGAGUGCAGGAGAGGAAAGUGGAAUUCCACGUGUAGCGGUGAAAUGCGUAGAUAUGUGGAGGAACACCAGUGGCGAAGGCGACUUUCUGGCCUGUAACUGACACUGAGGCGCGAAAGCGUGGGGAGCAAACAGGAUUAGAUACCCUGGUAGUCCACGCCGUAAACGAUGAGUGCUAAGUGUUGGGGGGUUUCCGCCCCUCAGUGCUGCAGCUAACGCAUUAAGCACUCCGCCUGGGGAGUACGGUCGCAAGACUG
rnacentral:rRNA from 1 species